GAUGAACGCUGGCGGCGUGCCUAAUACAUGCAAGUCGAGCGAAUGGAUUAAGAGCUUGCUCUUAUGAAGUUAGCGGCGGACGGGUGAGUAACACGUGGGUAACCUGCCCAUAAGACUGGGAUAACUCCGGGAAACCGGGGCUAAUACCGGAUAAUAUUUUGAACUGCAUGGUUCAAAAUUGAAAGGCGGCUUCGGCUGUCACUUAUGGAUGGACCCGCGUCGCAUUAGCUAGUUGGUGAGGUAACGGCUCACCAAGGCAACGAUGCGUAGCCGACCUGAGAGGGUGAUCGGCCACACUGGGACUGAGAAACGGCCCAGACUCCUACGGGAGGCAGCAGUAGGGAAUCUUCCGCAAUGGACGAAAGUCUGACGGAGCAACGCCGCGUGAGUGGUGAAGGCUUUCGGGUCGUAAAACUCUGUUGUUAGGGAAGAACAAGUGCUAGUUGAAUAAGCUGGCACCUUGACGGUACCUAACCAGAAAGCCACGGCUAACUACGUGCCAGCAGCCGCAGUAA
rnacentral:rRNA from 1 species